rnacentral:rRNA from 1 species
UACAGAGGGUGCAAGCGUUGUUCGGAUUUACUGGGCGUAAAGCGUGCGUAGGCUGUAUUGAGAGUCGCGGGUGAAAUCCCAGGGCUUAACCCUGGAACUGCCUGCGAGACCUCAGUACUAGAGUGUGAGAGGGGAUAGUGGAAUUCCAGGUGUAGCGGUGAAAUGCGUAGAGAUCUGGAGGAACACCGGUGGCGAAGGCGGCUAUCUGGCUCACAACUGACGCUCAGGCACGAAAGCGUGGGUAGCAAACAGG